AUACGUAGGGGGCAAGCGUUAUCCGGAUUUACUGGGUGUAAAGGGAGCGUAGACGGCACUGCAAGUCUGGAGUGAAAGCCCGGGGCUCAACCCCGGGACUGCUUUGGAGACUGUGGUGCUAGAGUGCAGGAGAGGUAAGUGGAAUUCCUAAUGUAGCGGUGAAAUGCGUAGAUAUUAGGAGGAACACCAGUGGCGAAGGCGGCUUACUGGACUGUAACUGACGUUGAGGCUCGAAGGCGUGGGGAGC
rnacentral:rRNA from 1 species